GGCGGCGCCGCUCUCCCACCUCCCGGGUGGGGGGGGCCCGGCCGGUGUCACGUGACCGCGUCGCCUGGCAGCGCCGUCGCCAUGGCAACGGCCGUACACAGGCCGCGGCCCGUCGCGCCGGCGGGAAGGGCGACGGGUUGCUUUCCAAUUCUCAGCUGAAAUAAAAAUGAAUUCAAGACAGAGAGAUUCACACACACAGAGGACUAUUCCCAAACCAAAAGCAUCCCUCCAUCUAACACAGCCUGAGAGAGGGCAAGGUAUGUGGUAUUUGCUGAGCCCGCUGCUGAGAAAAUGAAAACCAUGCUGGCCUCCCACAUCUUCAUGAUGGAUAACAGUUUACUUUCAAAGAAGCCAAGCCUAGCAUAGACAACGAGCAAAAGAAAGAGGCCAGGGUCUUCAGCCUGCUCAGAGCUGCAGAAGCCUGCAAUCGCCUUGAAAGCUGAGACUCCGCUGUCAGGAGCUGGGGGCGAAGGAAAUAAAUCAUCUGAUAUCCUGCCAGCAAACUGCUAUAGGCACUUUGAGACUGGAGGGGUUUCUCCUGCCCCAAAAGAGUAUUAAAAAAAAAAAAAAAGAGGCUGAUGACUUGGACAGGGUUCAGCCAUUACAGAAAGAAGAGAGGAAAGUGAGAAAACAUCUAUAUUCCUUUUUGUCUUUAUUCCCCUGGACUGCGGUGAAUCCACCGCUGACAGCUGUAACUUGGGAACUAGCAUCUAAGCCAACAUUUCCUCAGUGCACAGCACCCUGCUCUCCUUUACUUCAUCAUCUCACAUCGCUUUGGUGUUACAGAGGAGUCACGUAAAGGCAAUACUAGAAGAUGAGAGAGGUGGAAAAUUAAUUAGAAGACGCUGAAACUUUGAGGAACUCUCUAGAAUAAUUGAAGACAGCUGAUGGAUUGGGACGAGGGACCAGGAAUAGCCAGAUUUUUCAGCUACUGAGUUAAAAAAAAUGUUUCCAAACCUGUGCAACAGCUUCAGCUGCAGUAGAUGGGCCUUCAGUGCUUGCAGUGUGGAAGAGCCAAAGGAACGGGCACGUUGGCCACACGAGCUAGCCCAGGAUCUCUUACUAAUAUAAAUUCUGCGACUUGAUUGUGUUUGCUCUGGAAUUGCAUGCACAUAAAUCAAGCCAUAAUCAAAGCUUUACCCAUUUCGGUACCACCUGAUCAAUCAGAAAUAGGGAUUAUAUGGCGUUAAACCAAAAAUCGCAUACAAAAAUCGUUGUUCUGCAUAUAGAAGUUGUUCUCAGCUUAGCAUCUAAGUGAGAAACCUCAAAACCAUGAGCAGUUUUUCCUGACAGUGAGUCCUGGACCUUGCUAUGUUAAAACAGAAAUACCAGAAUGAUAUUUCUUCACACAGUCAUAACCAUCAUUUUCUUUGUCUGCUGUCUUGUAGCCAGCAGGUCGUGUACGCUUGUGUUUAGAUGUGUCCACAGAGGAAUCUAACCUGCAAAUAAAGAACUGCAACAGAAGUUGUGGUUUUG